CUGCCAUAGGGAUAAGAAGUCCGGAACUUUACUCCGGUCUGGUUUCUUAUCCUCUUUUCAACUUGGUUCUCUCACAGAAGCCACUAUCCUUGAUGACAGACAUGGCCCUGGCUGUUCUUCACGACCACCGGCAGUGUGUAUGAGCCUCUAAGGAGAAAUGAAGUGACAUAGCUUGAAGCAAGGACCCCAGCGACUGGACUAUUAUUCUUACAAUAGAUUUUUUUCAAGACUAACAGGCUCCACAUGGAACAAGAGAAUAAUAUUGUUAUUUGUAGCCACUCUGUCUAUAUA